AACGAACGCUGGCGGCAUGCCUAACACAUGCAAGUCGAACGAAGCCUUCGGGCUUAGUGGCGCACGGGUGCGUAAUGCGCGGGACUCUGCCCUUUGGUUCGGAAUAACAGUUGCAAACGACUGCUAAUACCGUACGAUGACGAUAGUCCAAAGGAUUAUCGCCAGAGGAUGAGCCCGCGUAGGAUUAGCUAGUUGGUGUGGUAAAGGCGCACCAAGGCGACGAUCCUUAGCUGGGCUGAGAGGAUGAUCAGCCACACUGGGACGGAGACACGGCCCAGACUCCUACGGGAGGCAGCAGUGGGGGAUAUUGGACAAUGGGCGAAAGCCUGAUCCAGCAAUGCCGCGUGAGUGAUGAAGGCCCUAGGGUUGUAAAGCUCUUUUACCCGGGAUGAUAAUGACAGUACCGGGAGAGUAAGCCCCGGCUAACUCCGUGCCAGCCGCCGCGGUAA
rnacentral:rRNA from 1 species